rnacentral:lncRNA from 1 species
CUUGAUUCCACGCGCGGAUGAGGAGGAUAAACGUUCCGAUGGCUGUCGACGGCUUCCCCAUUAGAUGUUUGACAGAAUGAUUCUGACGCCAGUCCACUUACCUGUGUACUGUCUAUUCAGAGGACUUCGAGCCCCCCGGCGGCCUCCACCAUCGUUCGGCUUCACUGAGGGGAGCAAAGAAGGGCAAGAGGAAGAAGCCCAAGCGGCACUCGCCAUCGUCAUCCCCAACCUCGAGGGGGUCUUUUGCCGCCUCGCACGGUGGUGCCGGGGAUCUGUCUGGCCGCCGUCUCGUCAUCUGAGGGCGGCUCCGACUCUCUCACUUGUGGUAAAGGCAUCGAUGCCCCUCCCUGCCCCUCGUUGGGAAGCUGAAGUGGCAGCCAAAGCUAGACCUCCAGUCCUGUAAAUCAUAUGAGACGGGCGGCCCGUCUAAUCCCAAUCUAGACCUCCAGUCCUGUAAAUCAUAUGAGAGGCGCGGACCUCCAGUCCGCGCCGAAUUCUAAAUUUGUGAUUUGAGAGUCGAAUUGGGAAAAGAAUCUACCACUUUUGGUACUUCAAUAAUCAUCAGGAGCGCAUGAUUUCACAAAAUUAUUACCAUUAAAUAAUCUUAUGGAAAACACGAGUAUCCUACACAAUCUUCCUUGAUUACCAUAAUAAUGCCGAAUUAACCAAUUCUGUAAUUUAUUGUGGACAAUUGGCCGAUCUAGAUCUAAAUCAACUUUGAUAGAGCAUAAUAUGAUUAGAAAGAAGAAUUAAAGAGCCAUCAAUCCAUCUUUAUAAUGAAUUUGAAGAAUGGGGGCAAAUAGUUAACUUAGGUUCUCAUUUAUUGGCAUCUUAGUGAUAUAGAAGAAUAUUAUCUUAUUUAUCUUAUUUUUGAGAUCUGGAUGAGGGUAUCAUCAGAUACAACAUGUUCCCUGGGGAAGAUUUGAUUGGAUCGGUUGGAUCAGUCAAAUAAAAUUAAGGCCACACCCAAUGGAAAAUCAUAAGAAAAAAAUAGUGCUUCUAGUCAAGCCCCAAUGAAGCUCAACUCCAACUCAAAUAGACAAAUAAUGUGAGAGGGUUUCACACACACAUGUAUACAUAUAGAGUGAGAGAGAGAGAGAGAUAAAAUGUGCUGUGUUUGAUGAUAUCAUAAGUUUUGAUUUGUUAAUGACACAAUGCAACAAUUUGUGUUGCGUUAAUUCCUAACACAUACACACUAAAAUUAGUGUUGACAAUAUGCCUUUUUAUCACAGUGCACAUAAACUGUUAUUAGUGUUUCCUUACGACAUGUUAAGGACAUUCUUAUCCUAUUCUCUUCACACUCAUAAAUUAUAUUAUUUAAAUGAUGCAUAUACUCUAUUAUAUCCACUUUUAGAGUGCAUUAGCUGAUAUUCUAGAUUAUCUAUUGUACUAUAAUUUGUUAUGACCAUUUACAUAUUGUGUUCACUAAUCUAUAUAAUGUGUAUAUCGAUUUGCAUAUUAUUUGUGCAUUUACUACUGCACAUACGUGUGUCAUUCACAUUUAUAUCAUGUGUUGUUUAAAUGUACACAUUGUCCUCACUGAUAUAGUUAUUUGUUUAUGUGCCUUUGCUAUCUCCACAUAUAGGUGUUGUGUUAUAUGAUGCAUUAUCUAAUUGAUCCCCAUAGGAUGUCAUUUGUCCUCACAAGAUGGUCAAAACAUAUUAGCUAGUCAUCCUCAUAUAGUUAAAUACUAUAUGCACCCAUAUAAUAGUCAUGUUUUUUUAUUUUGCCAAUCCACAAGUACUAUGCUCACUCCUGCACUUUGUUACUUUUAUUAACUUAGUUAUAUAAAGUCAUAUGUUCUUCUAUUUUCGCACCACAUAUUGAAUUUAAAUAAUAAAUUCGGAAAUGAAAUUUUGGCUCAUAGAUCAAUAUGUGCAUAUUCACUGGAAAGAUUUCUUCAAGAAGAAUAUGAUGUCAUUAAACACACAAAAAUAAGUAUUUCAUUGAAUAUUUAGAAUACAACUUGGUUCUCUUGUCCUCUUCAUAGUGGGUAGUUGGGCGAUAAUUGAAGGUAUUGUCACUUCAAUCUCAUCUAAGAAGAUCACAUAAGACUUGGAUUUCAUUCCUCCAUAGACUAUUUUCCUGGUACUCGAGCCAACAAUUAAGAUCAUUUAAAUUUUCACGAAUUUCUCAAAAUAAAAUGUCUGCAAGCUCUCAAGACGGAAAAGGGGUCAAAACAGAUCAUUCAAAAACUAAUUUUUCUCCUUCUCUCAAUAUUUAAAUCCUAAAAUUACUAGAAAUUUAAAUGGCUGGAAAUCAAUACAAUAUGACAAUUAGGGGUUAGAUAUAUGCUAAGAGAGGUCAAUAUGCAUAGCCAUUAUAUAUCUGAAGUUUAUUGAUUUAAAUAAUUCUGAUAAAGAUCUAUUAUUUUUGAAACAAAGUUGAUAAUAUGUCUAAAAGUAAAUUAAAUAUUUCUCAAUAAAAAUUAUCAAAAUCACCUCAGAGAAAAUAAUGACUAUCAAAUUGACAUAUUAAGUCAUGAUCUCAACAUGUGAAAUCAUAACUUGAAUGACACAGGACAAUUUAAAAGUAUUUUCCAAAGUAUGAGUAGUUUAAUUCAAUCAACUAGUUCAAUACGAAGAACAUUGAAAAGCAAUGAUUUGGUAUCAUUACCAUAGUAGACCAAGUUUUUGUACUCUUACUUUACUUCAAUACUUCACAUUUAUGAUGAUGCAUUGAUCAUUACUUUCCUAUAGAAUCAUCUUCUAUAAACAUUACUAACUUUCCAAAUAAUUUUUAAAUUAAUAAUUUCACAUGGUGAAAUCCUAGAAUUCCAAAAAGUCAAGUAUAACCAUAAGAAAGUUUUGUCAACUUCUAUUUAGAUAUUUAAUAAUUUUUUAAAAAAUUAUAUUCAAUUAAAUUCAUAAUCAUGCGUAAAUUUAUAUCUAAUCAUGCAAGAAGUAUAAUAAGAAAUAAGCAUAAUUUGAUCAAAUUUAUUGAUAUUUAUGAGUUUUUUCAUCAUCAAACUAUUACUUAUUUAAUGUUAAAUCAGUUUAUUAAAAUCCUUUUACAAGAAUGUGGUGUGUACAAAAUAGAUAGAUUAUUGGUAUUUUAUACUUUUUGAAAAAUUACUUUGUUUAUUUAAAGCCUAAAAAGGUUAGAAACUAUCAUGUGCUAGAAGACAGAGCCAGACCACAUUGAUUUUAACAAAACUCAUGAAAUCAAGAGAAUGAAGACAUGUAGACCAAUUAUAAUUCAGCUUAAUCAAGCCAUAAUGAAUUGCUAAGCUUCCAAGGCCACUCAAGUCAUCAAUGAAAAGAUAGAAACCCUAUUCAACUAUAGAAGAUCUUCAACUAGUAUUAUGAUGUCAAGUAACAUAAGAUACCAAAUUAUGAUGAAUCAUUACCAUAAUAACUAGUACUACACUGAUAUUUAUGAUUCUAUUAUCAGCUUUGGAAGGUUAAAUGUCGUUGACUAUAAAAAGAAAAAGUGAAUGGAAGGGUAAAUUGGUAAUCUUAGGAAGUUUGAGGGCUCUUAAGAUAGUAGGCAUGGCUAAAACUUGAACCACUCUAAAAUUGACAUGCACUUAUUCCAAGUGUGACUAUCUUUUUAUUACUACUUUAUCCUUAUCCAUUCAGCAAUAUAGGGAGUUAGAAGAAAAAUUUAUGUUAAAUCAAUUGUAUUAACUUAUGUAACCAUUUUCAAUGGUCCAUUGCAUCUAUCUAACUUUAUAUGCUUGCUCCAUUUUUAUUACAUCUUAAAGCAUUGGAUAUCAUUCAAGCCACUUAAUUUAUUAUAGUUUGUUAGACCUUCCUUUAUUUCACAAUAUUAGGAAUAUUUAAUUUGUCAUCCUCUCCAAACACCUAUAAUCAUCCUUAGUUCCUUCACAAAUAUCUGUAAAAGAUAAGGUUAAUCCUUGUUAUAUUCAGCUAAAGGCUUGGUAGAUCCAAGGGCCUAUCAAGCUACUCUACAUUUGCAUAAUAUUGUGUUUGAAAGUCAUUUGACAUGUCUACAGCUUGUUUGUCGUCAUUCAUAGCCUUUUAAAUUAUAUAUAUUGGAUAAUUUCAUUCAAUGACUAGGAUCUAAUUUUUAUAGCAAAAAAAGAAAAGGAGAAGCCCUUAGAAAUCCAACAUGAACUAUAUUACCUUGAGCAAUUUUCAGGACCCAAAUAUAUAAAUCUAGUUUUCUACACUAGGAGAUGCAGCCUAUGAAGCCCAACCAAGGUAAAGAUAUUUAAAAAUAACUUUAUGCCCUAAGCUUUUGACAAACACUUUGUAGCUUGACAGUCCAUUUUGCAUCUUCAUGUUUAAAUCCACAUACUAUAAUAGAAAUGUGACUCUCUUUUCUUUUUUUUCUAGGAGUCAAGCAAAGCCUGAAUGUUUUUCUCUAGAUCUUCCUUGUGGAGAGUGCACUGUGGACCAUGUUAGAUGGCCCAUAGCCAAAAUAGCCCAAAUCAAGACACUAUUUCUACUAAGACAAUAAUCAUUAGAAUUAAUUUAUCAAGAUGUGCAUUAAUAGAUAUGAUAAUAUAUAUAUAUAUAUAUAUUAAUUAAAUGAUUAGGAAAUACACUAUUGACAAUAAGACUCUACCCAAGUUGGGCCAUAUGUGGUGGCAGACAGGACCCCUCGCCACCGCAACACGAGCCCAAGGUGAAGAAGGAGACCCUACCCCCACGUCGUUAACCAGAUCACAGAGCUUGAGUGAGGACAAGGAACCCCGGGUUCUACUACAUCACAUGAAGGGCUUCCCACCCCUUGGACCCAUGUUGGGCCCAUGGGGGGAUGGGACAGCCCACUCCCUUUUGGCCCUCACUCGUCCUAUAACCUCCUCCAUUGGGCCAUACGUGUGAGCCCAAUUGGAAGAGCUGGUGUCCUUAUUCCCCUCACCCCCCUUAUCUUUUGGGCCACCCUCGUUUAGGCCCAAUAGAGAGGAAGGCCCACUAGGGGGGCUUGACAUUUUGGGCUUCUCGUGUAGUUCUUCACCUUUGGCCCAUGUGGGCCACUAUAUAUAGGAGUGGAGAGCCACCACC